rnacentral:rRNA from 1 species
UGGUAGGGUAACGGCCUACCAAGGCAGAGACGGGUACGGGGCGUGAGAGCGCGGACCCCCACACUGGCACUGUGACACGGGCCAGACUCCUACUGGAGGCAGCAGUAAGGAAUAUUGCGCAAUGUACGAAAGUCUGACGCAGCGACGCCGCGUGGGCGAUGAAGGCCUUCGAGUUGUACAGCCCUUUCAUGGGGGAAGAGAAAAAGGACGGUACCCCAUGAAUAAGUCCCGGCUAACUACGUGCCAGCAGCCGCGGUAAAACGUAGGGGACAAGCGUUAUCCGGAUUCACUGGGCGUAAAGAGCGUUCAGGCGGUUCCGUAAGUUGGGCGUGAAAUCUCCGGGCUUAACCCGGAGAUGUCGUUCAAUACUGCGGGGCUUGAGGACAGCAGAGGAAGGUGGAAUUCCCGGUGUAGUGGUGAAAUGCGUAGAUAUCGGGAGGAACACCCGUGCCGAAGCCGGCCUUCUGGGCUGUUCCGGACGCUGAAGGCGAAAGCUAGGGGAGCGAACGGGAUUAGAUACCCCGGUAGUCCUAGCUGUAACCGAUGGAUGCUGGCUCUGGUGGUUGUAAAUUCCCUCUGUGCCGAAGCAAACGCGUCAAGCAUCCCGCCUGGGGACUACGUCCGCAAGGCUAAUACCCAAACGAAUUGACGGGGGCCCGCACAAGCAGCGGAGCGUGUGGUUUAAUUCGAUGCUACACGAAGAACCUUACCUGGGUUUGACAUGCACGUGGUAGGGAACCGAAAGGGGACCGACCUUCGGGAGCGUGCACAGGUGCUGCAUGGCUGUCGUCAGCUCGUGCCGUGAGGUUUCGGGUUAAGUCCCGUAACGAGCGCAACCCUUGCCCUUAGUUACAAGUGUCUAAGGGGACUGCCCGGGACAACUGGGAGGAAGGUGGGGAUGACGUCAAGUCAGCAUGGCCUUUAUAUCCAGGGCUACACACACGCUACAAUGGCCAGUACAAUAGGUAGCCAAGUCGUGAGACGGAGCCAAUCCUUAAAGCUGGUCCUCAGUUCGAAUUGCAAUCUGCAACUCGACUGCAUGAAGCUGGAGUUGCUAGUAAUCGCAGGUCAGCCAUACUGCGGUGAUACGUUCCCGGGCCUUGUACACACCGCCCGUCACGUCAUGGGAGCUGGCAACGCCUGAAGCCGGUGAGCUAACCCGAAAGGG